rnacentral:pre_miRNA from 1 species
UACCCACAAUUGACUCUGUGUUUACACCUCCAUUUAAUUCUGAAAGACUCAAAAUUGACAAGGUUUUGAAGAAUUACAGGUGGUGGAAAUACAGUUGUCCACG